UGGGGAAUUUUGCACAAUGGGGGAAACCCUGAUGCAGCGACGCCGCGUGAUUUAGAAGGCCUUCGGGUUGUAAAAAUCUUUUCUAUGGGAAGAAAAUGACAGUACCAUAGGAAUAAGGACCGGCUAAUUACGUGCCAGCAGACGCGGUAAUACGUAAGGUCCGAGCGUUGUCCGGAAUCAUUGGGCGUAAAGGGUACGUAGGCGGGUAAGCAAGUUAGAAGUGAAAUCCUAUAGCUCAACUAUAGUAAGCUUUUAAAACUGCUCAUCUUGAGGUAUGGAAGGGAAAGUGGAAUUCCUAGUGUAGCGGUGAAAUGCGCAGAUAUUAGGAGGAAUACCGGUGGCGAAGGCGACUUUCUGGCCAUAACCUGACGCUGAGGUACGAAAGCGUGGGUAGCAAACAGG
rnacentral:rRNA from 1 species